UGCAGUCGAGCGGAGAUGUUGGAGCUUGCUCCAACAUCUUAGCGGCGGACGGGUGAGUAACACGUGGGCAACCUGCCCUGCAGAUCGGGAUAACUCCGGGAAACCGGUGCUAAUACCGAAUAGUUUGCGGCCUCUCAUGAGGCCGCACGGAAAGACGGUUUCGGCUGUCACUGCAGGAUGGGCCCGCGGCGCAUUAGCUAGUUGGUGAGGUAACGGCUCACCAAGGCCACGAUGCGUAGCCGACCUGAGAGGGUGAUCGGCCACACUGGGACUGAGACACGGCCCAGACUCCUACGGGAGGCAGCAGUAGGGAAUCUUCCGCAAUGGACGAAAGUCUGACGGAGCAACGCCGCGUGAGUGAAGAAGGUUUUCGGAUCGUAAAACUCUGUUGUGAGGGAAGAACAAGUACCAAGUAACUACUGGUACCUUGACGGUACCUCACCAGAAAGCCACGGCUAACUACGUGCCAGCAGCCGCGGUAAUACGUAGGUGGCAAGCGUUGUCCGGAAUUAUUGGGCGUAAAGCGCGCGCAGGCGGUCCUUUAAGUCUGAUGUGAAAGCCCACGGCUCAACCGUGGAGGGUCAUUGGAAACUGGGGGACUUGAGUGCAGAAGAGGAAAGUGGAAUUCCACGUGUAGCGGUGAAAUGCGUAGAGAUGU
rnacentral:rRNA from 1 species